rnacentral:lncRNA from 1 species
UACAUAGCGGCCAGGCCUGGACUCCCAGGCGAACCCCUUCCCACCACAGCCAGGCCUGGACUCCCAGGCGAACCCCUUCCCACCGCAGCCUGGCCUGGACUCCCAGGAGCACCACCGCCCACUGCAGCCUGGUCUGGACUCCCAGGAGAACCCUUUCCCACUGCAGCCUGGCCUGGACUCCCAGGAGCACCACCGCCCACUGCAGCCUGGCCUGGACUCCCAGGAGCACCACUGCCCACUGCAGCAUGGCCUGGACCCCCAGGAGGACCCCCAUACAUAGCAGCCAGGCCUGGACCCCCAGGAAGACCUCU